rnacentral:rRNA from 1 species
CGAACGGGUGAGUAAUGCGUGACCAACCUGCCCCAUGCUCCAGAAUAGCUCUUGGGAACGGGUGGUAAUGCUGGAUGCUCCAACUUGACGCAUGUCUUGUUGGGAAAGUGUUUAGUGGCAUGGGAUGGGGUCGCGUCCUAUCAGCUUGUAGGCGGGGUAAUGGCCCACCUAGGCUUCGACGGGUAGCCGGCCUGAGAGGGCGGACGGCCACAUUGGGACUGAGAUACGGCCCAGACUCCUACGGGAGGCAGCAGC